GUUUGCAGUGAUGGUAAUUGUCCAAUUACACAAGUGUUUGAUGGUUCAACAAUGAUAUAAUGAUUCAAAAACUCGAGAAUUGAUAGAUUAUUCUUUCUGAGCCAUCCAAGAUGAGGUCUGUAAUUGUUUUGCUGCUGAUUCUCGCUGUUUUUGAAAUGUCAGAAGCCUGUUAUAUGUUUGGGACUUUGUCGGAUCUAUCAGGAAACAUCCUCCAAAGUUUGGACCCCUCCUCAUGGAGUAUAUGGAGCUCAAAAACUGCUUCCAGUUUAAGUUAGACGUAUUAUCUCAAACUGUCAGCAAUCAUCAUCCAAUAUUGCAUGCUGGAAAACAUCAUUGGUCUAAAUGAUAUAUUGAAUAAAAUUUGUUUGAAAAUAA